CCUUCUUUAAGGGAGUUUGAAUAAAGAACCUACAUGUUCGAUGAUAAAGGGUCAGCUAAGUAAAUGAUGGUUUAGCUGGACAAAGAUAAAGAAUCAUAAUUCCCCCAGGGAUGGAAGGCUUCCCACAUAUUCCAUAAGGAAGGAGUAAUUUCUGCCUCUUUCUUCAUGUAUUUCGCACCACAAGGCUAUAAGCCCCACCACACAGAGGAGGAUGGCAACGUCAGAAGGUGGAGGUCACCUGCCCCAGGGGACGUGGCCGAGGGACCAAGGUGUGGAUCCCAAGCCCCGUGCUGUGCACAUGUCCACCACGCAAUGGGACGACUCCUGGUGCAGCCAUCGGGUUACCAGGUAAUGGCACAGAAGGAUGCUGGUGGCAGAGUGUUGAGUGAAAAAAGGAAAGAAGAAAAAAAAAGCAGUCAAGCACGUCCUAUUUUUGCAAAAAUGAAAAGCACAUUCAGCGUGCAGAGGAAAAAGGCCAGAAGGAUUUACUAUGCACGUGAGCAGGGAGGAUACCUCCGAGGGUGGACUCACUCAUCUUGAUUUUCUACACGAACCUAGAGAGCUUCGGAAAUCUGAACAAAAUAAGAGAAAACAAACCCACACGGCCAGGCCUGUGCUGACCACACCCGCCUCUGACUUUGUUCUGAACGGUGGGGAACGGCCAGCGCCGCAGCCUCGGGACCCCAGGCGCCUGACUCCCCCGCUGCCCUUGGUCUCCUCCCCAGCGCUGCUCCCGCUCUUCCGUGGGCAUCGAUUUUUCCAUCCUUCAGAGAAGCGCCUGAGGAAAAGGAAAGAGCAUCUCUGGAUCAAUGAGCAGAGCCCUGCAGCCAGGCCUACCAUCUGCUUUUUGCUUUUCUCGGCAUCCAGUGCCAGCCCCCACCUCUCCCACUCCCAGCAAAGACUCUGGCUCUAGCUGGGCUUCAGCUCUGACGUUCCCUGGGCCUUGAAGCGGACUCAGGGCACAUUAAGCAUCAACCUUGGCUGGAUGCCGUGGCCUCUUUGCCGCAUCUUCAGUGGGGACCGAGCGCACAGCCACACAUCACAGGCUUGGCCCGGGACCUGUGCGGGACAGAUGCACUACGAUGCUUCCGAUGGUGACGAUGGCGAGACGUUCCUCGGGUGGCAGCAGACCAGCGUGACCCAGAGGACGCACGGUUUAGGCGUCACCACCAAGGCGAAGCUAGGAGGGUCCCCGGGGCGCCUCUGGAGGAGGCGGUGCGGGAACGGCAGAACACACGACGUGGGCAACCGCUUUCCUGUCUUCGCUCUUCCCACCCAAGCCCCAGGGGUGGAAAACAAUCCACACGCCAGAAACCUGACGCUGCUGCCGAGCUGGAAAAGCGGGUUCUGGAAGGGAAGGAUGGGGGAGGGGGCUCCCGAGGCCCCAAGGCCGCUGCCUGGGAGCGGUUCUCAUCAGCCAAAUGGCCCUUGGUGCCCCUGGACGGUCACUUGGGAGGGUCCCUCUCCGGGAGACCGGCUCUUGCCAAGGCCACCUGCGCCACGACCACUGCAGGUCUUGGCGCUCCUGGGAGCCGCCCGGAAGGGCAGUCCGUGCAGGCGGUGGGGUGGAGGAGGAAGCCCGGGUCGCUGCAGAGCCUCGCCAGCCGUAGGACGGCCCGGCCCCGGGUGGCGAUGCCUCUGCCAGGGCCGCCAAGCCCGAGCCCGGCUGCCGGGGACGCGCCGCGUGCGCGCGCCCAGGCCUCCGCCACCGCAUAAAUUCCCGAGCUGUCUGUGCAUGUCUUUUUCUUUCACUAGAGGUUGCUCACUUUCACUUCUUGCUUCCUUUCGGCUCCUCCGCCGGCUCCGUGAGCGCGUGUGCUGGGGGAGGGUGUGUGCCCGCGCGCGCGCGUGCCCGCAGGCUCCCGGCGGAUGCGCCCCCUGCCCGCGGAGAGGGCGCUCGGGGAUGUGCGGGGCCCCGCCGCCUGGCGUCAGGCGCAAGGUGGCCCAGCUGUCCUGUGCCCAGCAGGAGCCUAAGAGCUGGUUUCGACCGCCUCCAAUUCAGCCCUGCCCGAGGUUCCUUCGGCCCCAGUGGCACCCCAGCCCGCGUUACCCUAGGAGAUGGGGCGUGGGGGGGGUGUGGAGCAGACAGGAGACAAGGCCGGCCCUCAUCGCUAGGUCCCUGUGCUGGCGUUCCCCCUCCACCAUCACCGACCUCUCUCACUUUCCAUGUCUUAAAAAAAAAAAUUGCAAUUCUCCCCUGAAGCUGCUGCUUCUCCUGACACCAGAGGCCUCUCUGUGGCCCUCUCUCCUCCAAACAGGAACCCGAGGCCAGGAUGGAUGGAGCUUUGCUUCACUGAGCAGGAAGCCACAUCCUGCGAAGGCUGGAGCCUUUUGCUUGAGAGAGUGGGACCCGGAUGGGACCAAGAAGUAUCUCUUCUUCUUCCCUUCUGGCCCUGGCCUGCUGGCCUCAUUAUAA
rnacentral:lncRNA from 1 species